rnacentral:lncRNA from 1 species
GCAUCAUGUAAACUCAUACUAAUUACUAAUAUAUUUUUAAAUAUAAAAGUAUAAUCAAUUUAAGCAUAGAGCUGAGGCUUUAUAAGUACUGUGGUCUCUGUAAGAUGAUUUACUAAGAUGGACCUGUCUCAAUAUGUGCUAAAACCAAUAUAAUAGCAUUUAGUGUUUUAAUAUUAAUUUGAGUUGGUAUUGAGGAAAACAUUGCCAUUCCCAUUUCCCCCCAAUUUUCCCACUACUUGUUAAUAAACGCGCACAACGUUGACCGUAGGGAGAGGCCCUUUUUGACCCCGUACAUGCUUCAAAUAAUGGGGUUUUAAAAACGUCUUGUGAAUUAGAGUCGUUUGUUGAUGGCUGUGAAAAGCCACAGUGUUACACAGCAAACAUGCGUUAUUAGUGGUGAAUUCGGCCUAGUGGGUUCUACGUAUUAUUAAAGAAUUUACGGUAAAACAGUUGGCGGCUAUUACAAAACCAGUUCGUGUUCUACAGCAUUUAGGCUUUGUCAACGUGCGGGCGUUUUGGUGCUAAAUGAACGAACUAAUGAGGUUGUGUUUACACACGUGGUGGCGCCGGUGGACACGAGGGGGCGCGUCGUACUUAUCGUUAGUGAACUUGGAGAGAGACUACAAACGCUACGAACUGUGGUGGAAAGGAAUCAGCCUAGCUAAGUGCGGAGUCAAGCACCACCUGAAAUGUAGAUGGUUUACUCUCUCUGCCUUUGACUGAUGCUCUUAAUGAGACACUAUGUUGUGGCUCAAUGGCCAAAAGCUUAUAUUUCCCUCGUGUGCUGUUGAGCUUGUUUGUACAUGGUGGCAUUAUUUCACGAUUUUAUGCAAGUGAGAUUACAGUAAUAUUUUACGAAUGCUGUCUGUCUUCGCUGUCACCCAUCCCAU